GAAACCCUCUGAAAGAAUGCGACUGUGUCUGGGAAGGAGACUGAGGUGGCCGACAGCAGCUGGGAAAACAAGUCUGCUUCUAGGAGCACGAAGAAGACGGGUCCUUGACUCGGGAACAGAAGCCACGAGACACCAAGACGAGAAGAAUCAGAGAAACUGUUGGUCCCUGCAGGGACUGGAAGGUUAGAAGGAAGGAGGUGUUGGAUGGCGUGCUGGGAAGAAGAGCCUGAAGGUCCAGCAGUGGUUCAGUUGUUCAGAAGAGCCUGAAGGUCCAGCAGUGGUUCAGAUGUUCAGAAGAAGAGCCUGAAGGUCCAGCAGUGGUUCAGUUGUUCAGAAGAAGAGCCUGAAGGUCCAGCAGUGGUUCAGUUGUUCAGAAGAAGAGCCUGAAGGUCCAGCAGUGGUUCAGAUGUUCAGAAGAAGAGCCUGAAGGUCCAGCAGUGGUUCAGUUGUUCAGAAGAAGAGCCUGAAGGUCCAGCAGUGGUUCAGAUGUUCAGAAGAAGAGC
ensembl:lncRNA